UGGGGAAUUUUGGACAAUGGGCGCAAGUCUGAUCCAGCCAUGCCGCGUGCGGGAAGAAGGCCUUCGGGUUGUAAACCGCUUUUGUCAGGGAAGAAAUCUUCUGAGUUAAUACCUCGGGAGGAUGACGGUACCUGAAGAAUAAGCACCGGCUAACUACGUGCCAGCAGCCGCGGUAAUACGUAGGGUGCAAGCGUUAAUCGGAAUUACUGGGCGUAAAGCGUGCGCAGGCGGUUUUGUAAGACAGAGGUGAAAUCCCCGGGCUCAACCUGGGAACUGCCUUUGUGACUGCAAGGCUUGAGUGCGGCAGAGGGGGAUGGAAUUCCGCGUGUAGCAGUGAAAUGCGUAGAUAUGCGGAGGAACACCGAUGGCGAAGGCAAUCCCCUGGGCCUGCACUGACGCUCAUGCACGAAAAGCGUGGGGAGCAAAACAGGAUUAGAUACCCUGGUAGUCCACGCCCUAAACGAUGUCAACUGGUUGUUGGGAAGGUUCCUUCUCAGUAACGUAGCUAACGCGUGAAAGUUGACCGCCUGGGGAGUACGGCCGCAAGGUUGAAAACUCAAAAUGAAUUGACGGGGUCAUAGCUGUUUCCUG
rnacentral:rRNA from 1 species